GCCAUUUCCUGCUGGAUGGAAAGCGCAAGACACUCUGUGGUAUCAACAGACCAGGAAAGUGCUGAGGAAAUUCCCAUUUUAAUCAUCGAAGGUUUUCUUCUUUUUAAUUAUAAGCCCCUUGACACUAUAUGGAAUAGAAGCUAUUUCCUGACUAUUCCAUAUGAAGAAUGUAAAAGGAGGAGGAGUACAAGGGUCUAUCAGCCUCCAGACUCUCCGGGAUACUUUGAUGGCCAUGUGUGGCCCAUGUAUCUAAAGUACAGACAAGAAAUGCAGGACAUCACAUGGGAAGUUGUGUACCUGGAUGGAACAAAAUCUGAAGAGGACCUCUUUUUGCAAGUAUAUGAAGAUCUAAUACAAGAACUAGCAAAGCAAAAGUGUUUGCAAGUGACAGCAUAAAGACGGAACACAACAAAUCCUUCCUGAAGUGAAUUAGGAAACUCCAAGGAGUAAUUUAAGAACCUUCACCAAGAUACAAUGUAUACUGUGGUACAAUGACAGCCAUUGUUUCAUAUGUUUGAUUUUUAUUGCACAUGGUUUUCCCAACAUGUGGAACAAUAAAUAUCCAUGCCAAUGGACAGGACUGUACCUUAGCAAGUUGCUCCCUCUCCAGGGAGCGCAUAGAUACAGCAGAGCUCACAGUGAGUCAGAAAGUCUCCACUUUCUGAACAUAGCUCUAUAACAAUGAUUGUCAAACUUUUCUAACUGGAGCUCAGAGUAAGAAAUAAAGAUUACAUCACAAUCC
rnacentral:lncRNA from 10 species